rnacentral:rRNA from 1 species
UACGGAGGGGGCUAGCGUUGUUCGGAAUUACUGGGCGUAAAGCGCACGUAGGCGGCUUUGUAAGUUAGAGGUGAAAGCCCGGGGCUCAACUCCGGAAUUGCCUUUAAGACUGCAUCGCUAGAAUUGUGGAGAGGUAAAGUGGAAUUCCGAGUGUAGAGGUGAAAUUCGUAGAUAUUCGGAAGAACACCAGUGGCGAAGGCGACUUACUGGACACAUAUUGACGCUGAGGUGCGAAAGCGUGGGGAGCAAACAGG